ACAAAAAAAGUGUAAGGACUGGUGUGUUUGCCGGUCUGGCUAACUAGCUACCAACCGUCACUUUAAAGGAUAAGACUUAAAUAGCGUAACACAGUUCGUAGGCUAACAGUUUAUGCUAAAGGAAAAAAAAGAAGAAAAUAAUUAAGUCAUGGAUGCUGUCGGUGUUUAAGCUAACGUUGGACUAAGCAAACUACACAUUGAAGUGUAAAACUACCAACGCACAGUGGACAAGCAAAGGUCAGCAUUAUUUUGUUACACAGACGAGACGGACGUUGCCUCCAAAUACAACUACAUAUCAAUCGGUACAGAAAAACGAUACUUUAGAGCUCGCCCUAAAUUCGUGAGGAGCUCAUGUUUCUUUCAGGGGAUUGGAGCUCCUCGUAGUUCCCCGAAUUUCAAACACUGGCAACAUAUAACCAAGACCAACUGAUUAUUGAGAUUAGGGAGGUGCGCUAAAGUCAUGAAUCACUUUAUUCAGUUCAGGUAGAAGUUUUAAGUAAAAGCUAACCGGUCACAUAAAUGGCGGCCAGGCUAAUAUUUAGCAAUUAAACAGCCAUAAUUUCCUUCAGGAAAGAGAGGAAAUACAGAGCUGAAAGAGAGUUGAUAUUGGGUUUAUAUAUGAUGAAUGCUAACUGCUGGAUCUGUUUGCUAACACAUUCAAUAACAAGGUGAUGAUAUGUUAAUGUUUAUGGGUUUUUUUCCCACAGUUUUGUACGUGUUAAAAUUGCAGGUUUUUAACAGCUUCUAUGAACUCAAUCAUCGUCCCAACACAGAGAAUCAACACAGUAUCUGUAUUUAAUUAGACUGAUACUGUCAGUUUUGGACGUGGACACAGUGAACACAACCUCCUCCAUCCUGCCCACAGGCCGUCAUAACACAGCCUCAAUCAGUUAACCAAACUGGCUUCCAGACGUCUGUGUAAACACAUCGUGGCUUGUUGUUAUUGUUUUGUUAUUACUGUCCAACAUAUUUGGUCCAGUGUGCUGAGCCUCGAAAGAGAAAGAGACGUCCUGUAAGUGUAGGAUGCAGAAUAUGUGUAAAACAAUGCUCUUCUGUCUGUUGGAUUUGUGGUUAAACACAUUCUGCCGACUUUGUUAUUCCUGGAAAUGUUCUUUAUAUUGGCUGAGUUUCUCCUUUACAGUGUCUGCCAUUGAAACUGUGCUGAAUAUUACCCCACUGCGAGUAAACCGGUCCUGGAUGCUAUCGGAGUUUAAGACACGGAGUCAGCGCCACAGCAGCUGUUCAGGAUAAAGAGUUUAUUCACGGAGAUCGAGGCUGGUUGAUCCUGACAGACUUCUGAGGGAACUGGUGAUAGAAGAGGUCGACACAAACCGGACCUGGGUCAUUUAUUUAGAUUGGCACAAGAAGGAUGGGGUUCUGGUUGGUGUGGUGGGUGUUGAUGGGAACGGGCAGAGACGGUCAUAUCUGAAUAGUUAAGUUGUGUUUGGAAGAUGGACAAGACUCUACUUUAAAGGGUCAUUCUGGUUCUAUUACGACGGGGAUCUGAUAGGUUUGGUUUUGUUCUGAUAACAUUUAACUCUUUAUGUUACUCCGUUACACUGAAACAUCUGUGAGAGUUUAAAUUGGAAACUGUUGAAAUCAAAAAUACUCAGCAGGUGAUUGGAUGAACCAUCUGUCUAUCAGUCUAUCACAGGAAAAGUUAAACCAAUCAGAUCAAUGAACCAAUCGAUCAAUCUCUUAUGACUGACUACUAGGGUGCAGCUAGCUAACUGUAGCAUUGAUAUUGGUUCUCUGUACAGGUCUCGGUGAUUCGGUCACAUAAAUAAAUAAAUACUCUCCAGUUCUGAUAUAACUGAUGCUAGCAGCAGCUACGCUAACCUCUUCAGCAGACGCCAUUGUUGUUUUUGAGCAAACGGUCACUUCUCGCAAACACCUAGCGUUAAACCACAUGUGUAGCUCAUGCUAUAUUUCCAGGCUACAAUAAACUGUUUGUUUGACUAAA